rnacentral:lncRNA from 1 species
UAUUAAUUUUCGCCUCAUUUUGGUCCUUUAAGUUACCUCUGUCCGCCACUUAAAUCUAUUCCGUCAGAUUUUAAUAAAAAAAACGUUAAGAUUCAUCUUCCUCCUUCAUCAACUUCAUUUUCAAACCCAGAAAAUUCAUCAUCUUCAUAAUCAAACUCAUAAAAAUUAAUAAAAUUCAUCACAAAACUAAAAAAAAAAAAAAAAAAAAAAAACAUUAAACAGCAGCUCCACAACAGUCAACAACUCCAUCAUCAUAUUCAUCAAAAAACUCAAACAGAAGCCAGGAAAAAAAAUAAAACCAGCAAAAGAGAUUUUAAAAAACUCAAAAUUAUCAUCUUCAUGCAUUCAUCAUACAAAUUCAACCCCAUUCUCACUUUGAUCCAUAUUAAAACAAUAAAUAAUUAUAGAAUUGAAACUAAACAGACCCAUUAUCGGCUUCACAAAUAAUUAUAGUCACGUUCUCUUCUUCACUCCUUUAAUCUUUUACUUUCCACUAAAUCACAUGUUUGCCGAGAACAGAUCCUGUUAUCUGCUUCGAUUCAAUCUUCUUCUGCUGAUUCAUUCUCUUAUUCUCCCUUUUAGAUCUUUGAUGUUUAAAAGUUCAAUUCAAACAAAAAAAAAAAGUGACUUUGUGAGCUUAGUGUUGUUAAAGAUGGUGAUUGUUCUUUGUGUGAUAUCAGUUUUUGAGUUUAUUGUUUGGGUCUUUGAUGUUUGUAAUUUGAUUGUUGUUAAACUCAGUUUGCCAUUGUCUAUUGAUUAUUUUGUCACAUCAAGCAACGUAUAGCCACAAUUCCACUGUUUCUAAUUUCCAUAUUUCCUGAUCUUUUCGUCUCCAUCUGAUGCGGCCACAACCUCACCUUCCUAUGUCUCUUUCUUACUGUUGUCAUCCUCUGUGGCACAAAUAGGGGUUGAGAUUUGGAUUUCAAAUUCAAUAUAGCUAAAAAAGCCAUAAAUUAAAAACAAAAGAGAUGAAUAGGGUGAGAGUAUGUACAAUUUGUUGUGUUUUUUAUGAGAAUUGAUGAAUUUUGGUUUGAUUUUGUGUUUGUUGUUGCUGAACAUUUUAGUUAAAAUGAUUGAGUUUGAAUUUUUGGUUUGUUGUUUUAAUUUCCU